UACAGAGGGUGCGAGCGUUAAUCGGAAUUACUGGGCGUAAAGCGUGCGUAGGCGGACGUGUAAGUCGGGUGUGACAGCCCCGGGCUCAACCUGGGAAUUGCAUUCGAGGCUGCACGGCUGGAGUGCGGAAGAGGGAAGCGGAAUUUCCGGUGGAGCGGUGAAAUGCGUUGCUAGCGGAAGGAACAUGCGUGGCGACAGCGGCUUCCUUGUCCAGCACUGUCGCUCAGGCGCGAAAGCGUGGCGAGCAAAUAGG
rnacentral:rRNA from 1 species